AAAUUGAAGAGUUUGAUCAUGGCUCAGAUUGAACGCUGGCGGCAGGCCUAACACAUGCAAGUCGAGCGGAAACGGCAGCAUUGAAGCUUCGGUGGAUUUGCUGGACGUCGAGCGGCGGACGGGUGAGUAACGGCUGGGAACCUGCCCUGACGAGGGGGAUAACCGUUGGAAACGACGGCUAAUACCGCAUAAUGUCUUCGGACCAAAGGUGGCCUCUACAUGUAAGCUAUCGCGUUGGGAUGGGCCCAGUUAGGAUUAGCUAGUUGGUAAGGUAAUGGCUUACCAAGGCGACGAUCCUUAGCUGGUUUGAGAGGAUGAUCAGCCACACUGGGACUGAGACACGGCCCAGACUCCUACGGGAG
rnacentral:rRNA from 1 species